CAGUACUUGUAGACAGGGAUUUAGGCCUUAGCUCCUGAGCUGCCAAACAUGUGCUUGCUUAACUUAACUCAGCCUUAGUGAGACUUGACCUCAGCUGCACUGUUCAAAGCCUUAAGGUUAAAUAGAUGCGUAAGUAUUUACAGGAUUGGGUCCUUAGGGAUAACUGUUGCUGUAAUGUCUCUGAACUCUGUGGCGGGCUACUACCAAAGCCAUAUUGUUAGUUAUUUUUGAAGCAAGGUACAUGUGGAAUGUACCUUGAUAUUGAACAUUUCAAUAAAAAGUUUAUGGAUGAAUACAUAGCACAACAAAACCAUUCUUAUUCAUCCCAGUUCACUGAAGUAUUUUUAUUUUAAUUCAAUUCAGAGCCAAGCUCCAAGUGAGUAAUCUUGUGAUAUCUGGACCUACAACUUUGCCUUAAUUGUGAGCUCAGCUGUGAAAAGCACUGAUGGGGAGAAAAGAAGAGAAAAAAAAUCAGCAGUGAAGGACAUACAAGGACAAAAACCACAGGAGUGUGGAUGAGAGGAGCUGUCUGAAGUUUGAUCUGGACAAGACAAAGAUAAUGUGGUGGGUAAAAGAUAAAAUCCACAAUACUGGUGGGGGUAUCUGUUUCCCUCUUCUCUUGAUCAAAUAGGUUUGCAACUUAAAAGUUCUUUUGGACCAUUGUCUGCUUCUGAAUUACAGGGUAGAAGUAGUGGCCAUAACUCCAGUUACCAAAGUGACUGCAAACUUUCUUUUCAGAAAUGGACCUCACUAUGAAUAGUCAAGUCUUUGUCACUUCCUGUGAUUCACUCUAUUUGGGGAUAUGCUUGAAGACCACUCUAAAGUGUUACUUAACGUAGAAUAUGUCAGACCAGUUGCUUAGAGUUGUGAUCUCUGCAAAGCACAUUACAUCCAUGCUCUGUAUGUGGUCUUGACUUCAUAUUUGCUUUUGAGCACAAUUCAAGGUGUUUGUGUAGGCCUCAUCUACACUUAAAAAUUAGGUCAACCUAGAUACAUUGCUCAGGGCUGUGAAAAAUAUGCUCUGAAUGCCGUAGCUACGCUGAGCUAACCCCAUGUAGAUGCAGGUAGGUCAACAGAUGAAUUCUUCAGUCAACCUAGUGACCACCUCUUUGAGAGGUGGAUAAACUACAUUGAUGG